UACGGAGGGUGCAAGCGUUGUCCGGAUUUAUUGGGUUUAAAGGGUGCGUAGGCGGCCCGGUAAGUCAGUGGUGAAAGCCUCCAGCUCAACUGGAGAACUGCCAUUGAUACUGCCGGGCUUGAGUACAGACGAGGUUGGCGGAAUUGAUUGUGUAGCGGUGAAAUGCAUAGAUACAAUCAAGAACUCCGAUUGCGUAGGCAGCUAACUAUGCUGUAACUGACGCUGAGGCACGAAAGCGUGGGGAGCGAACAGG
rnacentral:rRNA from 1 species